rnacentral:lncRNA from 1 species
CGGGAUUCUUGGGAGAGUUCCCCUUCGCCCGAAUAUACUCGUCUAGUCCAAGCGACUCUCUGCCACGACCGAGAGCUUCCCACGAAACCAGGUCACCGCCUAUGCGACACCUUAUCUGUCGACCCGAGUGCCCCAGAAGUGCGACACGUGUGACACGCGGCCAGCGCGUGCAGGGAUGAGUGCACGUGCUAAGGCAUCUGCUGAGCGAUGCUCAACAUCUAACACGGUAUCAGUUUCCUUGGUGCGACUACUGAAGUCAGCGAGUUCGAAUCCCGCUCUCUCCUCGUUCAGUGAAAGCCUUCCCCGAUAAUGUUACCCGCAGCCGUCGUGAAUGGGUGCAAGAAAGAUUGCCGAGGUUUGCCCUCAGUUCAAGUCCGUCAUGGCAAAUGCACGUCUACCCAACUUACCUCAGGAUGGCGUGCAUCGCGGAAAAAUCAGGCACUAGGAGGGCGUCCCUGCACGUUGAAGGUCGUGUAUUCAGGUCAUCGUCUACAUACAUGUCAUUUUUUCUGGAGUACAGGACUAAGUUGUCAAUCGAUGGGAAUUAAGGGUAGCCGACAAGAGUUCGUGUGAAGUGCCUAGGAUAGAUUGAUACGAGUACUUCGCAGUUACAGUCCGCUAGGAUCUCCCAUGCUAGGCGGGGAAUUGUCC